rnacentral:sRNA from 12 species
GGCCUUGCCUCAUGGCAAAACAUACACUUUAGCAGAAUAGCAAGUAGAUGAUGGCAAUGGGUCAUCCGGUCGAAAAGUUAGGACAUUUAGAAAAGCCAGACAA